AUUGAACGCUGGCGGCAGGCCUAACACAUGCAAGUCGAACGAGUGGCGGACGGGUGUGUAAUGUCUGGGAAACUGCCCGAUGGAGGGGGAUAACUACAGGAAACGGGAGCUAAUACCGCAUACCAUCGGAUGUGCCCAGAUGGGGUGAGCUGGUGGGUGAGGUAACGGCUCACCUAGGCGACGCGCCCUAGCUGGUCUGAGAGUGUGACCAGCAAGACUGGAACUGAGACACGGUCCAGCCGCAUACGGGAGGAAGCAGUGGGGAAUAUUGCACAAGGGGCGCAAGCUUGAGGCAGCCAUGCGGCGUGUGUGAAGAAGGACUUCGGGGGGUAAAGUACUUUCAGCGAGGAGGGGUUAACCGCAGAAGAAGCACCGGCUAACUCCGUGCCAGCAGCCGCGGUAAUAC
rnacentral:rRNA from 1 species